rnacentral:lncRNA from 1 species
GUCAUUCUAAUGGGACACUAAUGUAUAUACAAUGAAUUUUUCUUUAACGCAACAUGAGCAUAUGGAACUUUUAGCGCAACUAAAGAAGCAGAACUACCAAAAUGACUAAUGAUACUACUAACUUGUUUUCUAAAAAACAUAAUAAGAAAAUGCACAACUUUAUAUAUAUAGCACUUUACUCCUUAAUAAUACUUAAACUAUCAAACUCAAACCUUUAAAGAUCGUAUAGAAUACGUCUUCUUGUACACCAACUCAAUUAGAAACGUAAUCUAAUUCGUGCCCAAGUAGCUGGUUUAUUCUGGUGAUGAAUGAAAUAUGAUAACAUCAGUAUCUUCNN